AAACAUAACCUUUAGCCAAACAAGUAUUAAAGGCAACGCCUGCCCAGUGAAAAUUAAACGGCCGCGGUAUCCUAACCGUGCAAAGGUAGCAUAAUCAUUUGUCUAUUAAUUGUAGACCUGUAUGAAAGGCAAAAUGAGAGCCCAACUGUCUCUUAUAACAAAUCAAUUAAACUGAUCUCCUAGUACAAAAGCUAGAAUACUAACAUAAGACCAGAAGACCCUGUGAAGCUUUAACUAACCUAUUAAACCCAAUAAUAACUACUUUCGGUUGGGGCGACCUUGGAAUAAAAAAGAACUUCCAACAUAUGACUCCCUCAUAAAACAAGGCCAACAAGCCAAUACUAGACCCAGUAUAACUGAUAAUUGAAAUAAGUUACUCCAGGGAUAACAGCGCUAUCUUCUUUAAGAGCCCAUAUCAAAAAGAAGGUUUACGACCUCGAUGUUGGAUCAGGACAUCCCAGUAAUGCAACCGUUACUAAAGGUUCGUUUGUUCAACGAUUAACAGUCCCACGUGAUCU
rnacentral:rRNA from 1 species